CCUUAGUAGAAAAAUUUACUAAAUGCUCCUCUACCCCCAAACCUAUGAAUUUGACAUAAGUUUCUUUAUGUUAAGAUG
rnacentral:tRNA from 1 species